GCGGCGUCUAGGAGUCUCCCUAUAAUUCGGAGGAAGAGGAGGUGAUGGAUGCCCCUGACGACAUUCCUCACACAAAGGGGUUAGUGAUCACUCCACUAAUUAAAGAUUUGACAGCCCCAGCCACUAAAGGGGACAUCAAGGCACUUAUAAACAACAACAGGGCCUUCUUUAAUGCUGACCUAGACAUAAUCAGAGAGGACAUUACAGUGGUUACAGCAAGGGUGCAAGCAACUGAAGAAAUAGUCUCCACCAUGGCACACCAUCAGGAAAAC